rnacentral:rRNA from 1 species
GGUCAAGCGAAUAAGCGCACAUGGUGGAUGCCUUGGCGGUCAGAGGCGAUGAAGGACGUGGUAGCCUGCGAAAAGUGUCGGGGAGCUGGCAACAAGCUUUGAUCCGGCAAUAUCCGAAUGGGGGAACCCACUGUUUAGGCGGUAUCUUUGAGUAAAUUCAUAGCUCAAGGAGGCGAACCUGGUGAACUGAAAUAUCUAAGUAACCAGAGGAAAAGAAAUCAACAGAGAUUCCCUGAGUAGUGACGAGCGAACGGGGAUUAGCCCUUAAGCUAGUAUGGUUUUAGGAAAGCAAUCUGGGAAGGUUGGCCAUAGAAGGUGAUAGCCCUGUAUCCGAAAGGGCCGUACUAGUGAAGAUGAGUAGGACGGGGCACGUGAAACCUUGUCUGAAUAUGGGGGGUCCAUCCUCCAAGGCUAAAUACUCCUGACCGACCGAUAGUGAACUAGUACCGUGAGGGAAAGGCGAAAAGAACC